rnacentral:lncRNA from 1 species
CUGAAAGUCUGUCCUCUUUAAACAAGGAAUACUAAGAAAAUAUUAUCACAGACCUUCAGGCUGAUCUUGAAACUAUACCUGGGGCUGGAAUCAUCAGCAAUUAUUCAUCAAUAAGGAAGAAGAGAUAGUGACAUUUGAAUUAAGACCAGAAGGAAGUGAGAAAAUGAAUAAUGCAAACAUUUGGGGAAAGAGCACUCUAGGCAGAGGAGGCAACUGCAAAGGCCACUGUUGUGGGUAUAAUUGUGUUCUCCUGAAAGAAGACACAGAAACAGAGACACAUGGGAGAAUGCCAUGUGAUGACAGAGGAGAGACUGAAAUGGUACAGCCACAAGCUCAGGAAUGCCAAGAAUUGAGAGCCACCACCAGAAGCUAGGAAGAGGUGAGAUGGACUGGCCUGGCUUCUUCUUUGGUUGGAUCUCCACUACUGAUCCAAACAACCAUGGCUGAGGACAGGGUCAUUUUGAAGGAAAACUUGCUUUUUUCCAAAGCUGCAGAUGGAGUUUAUUUUCUAAGAAGAGGAUAUGAAAAUGAGAAGGAUAUAAUGG